CCUACGGGAGGCAGCAGUGGGGAAUUUUGGACAAUGGGCGAAAGCCUGAUCCAGCAAUGCCGCGUGCAGGAUGAAGGCCCUCGGGUUGUAAACUGCUUUUGUACGGAACGAAAAGCCUGGGGCUAAUAUCCCCGGGUCAUGACGGUACCGUAAGAAUAAGCACCGGCUAACUGCGUGCCAGCAGCCGCGGUAAUACGUAGGGUGCAAGCGUUAAUCGGAAUUACUGGGCGUAAAGCGUGCGCAGGCGGUUUUGUAAGACAGUGGUGAAAUCCCCGGGCUCAACCUGGGAACUGCCAUUGUGACUGCAAGGCUAGAGUGCGGCAGAGGGGGAUGGAAUUCCGCGUGUAGCAGUGAAAUGCGUAGAUAUGCGGAGGAACACCGAUGGCGAAGGCAAUCCCCUGGGCCUGCACUGACGCUCAUGCACGAAAGCGUGGGGAGCAAACAGGAUUAGAUACCCUGGUAGUCCACGCCCUAAACGAUGUCAACUGGUUGUUGGGUCUUAACUGACUCAGUAACGAAGCUAACGCGUGAAGUUGACCGCCUGGGGAGUACGGCCGCAAGGUUGAAACUCAAAUGAAUUGACGGGG
rnacentral:rRNA from 1 species